AGAGUUUGAUCCUGGCUCAGAGCGAACGCUGGCGGCGUGCUUAACACAUGCAAGUCGAGCGAGAAAGGGAACUUCGGUUCCUGAGUACAGCGGCGAACGGGUGAGUAAUACGUGGGUGAUCUACCCCUAGGGUGGGAAUAACCCGGGGAAACCCGGGCUAAUACCGAAUAAGACCACAGGAGGCAACUCCAGGGGUCAAAGGGAGCUUCGGCCCCCCCCAAGGGAUGAGCCCGCGGCCUAUCAGCUUGUUGGUGGGGUAAAGGCCCACCAAGGCAAAGACGGGUAGCUGGUCUGAGAGGAUGACCAGUCACACGGGGACUGAGACACGGCCCCGACUCCUACGGGAGGCAGCAGUGGGGAAUAUUGGACAAUGGGGGAAACCCUGAUCCAGCGACGCCGCGUGGGUGAUGAAGGCUUUCGGGUCGUAAAGCCCUGUCAGGAGGAAAGAACGCUCCUAUAGCGAAUAGCUAUAGGAAGUGACGGUACCUCCAAAGGAAGCACCGGCCAACUCCGUGCCAGCAGCCGCGGUAAGACGGAGGGUGCGAACGUUGCUCGGAAUCACUGGGCGUAAAGGGUGCGUAGG
rnacentral:rRNA from 1 species